UCAUAAGGAAUACUGCAGGAGAACCUGAGGUUCUAACAAGGUUGGAGGCAGGACCUGAUCCGCAAAAUAUAACCGAAUAUGAGAGUUAAGUGACUGUAGGCACAUUUUGCAUGAAAAAACCAACUUUGUUUUUACUAUUACUUCACAUUUCUAUGUAACAUAACAUAAAUAAUACAUUGGCAAUAUCUCGCAUAUAAAAAAUUUCUCACUGCUUAACACCCCACAUCGAUGAGCAACGAACAUGAGCUCACCCCAUUGUGGAAAGAAUUGGUAAAAACUUGCCAUGGUUUUGUGAAUGAAAAGAAGUGGUUGUCAGAGU
rnacentral:lncRNA from 1 species